UACAGGGGGUGCAAACGUUGCUCGGAAUCAUUGGGCGUAAAGCGCACGUAGGCGGUCUGUUAUGUCGGAUGUGAAAGCCCUUGGCUCAACUGAGGAAGUGCAUCCGAAACUGGCAGGCUAGAGUACUAAAGAGGGUCGCGGAAUUCCCGGUGUAGAGGGUGAAAUUCGUAGAUAUCGGGAGGAAACACCAGUGGCGAAGGCGGCGACCUGGGUAGAUACUGACGCUGAGGUGCGAAAGCGUGGGGAGCAAACAGG
rnacentral:rRNA from 1 species